rnacentral:lncRNA from 1 species
AUUUGAGUAAUGGGCUAAUAGAAAACCAAGUUAUGGAUCUCCAGGACCAGAACAAUAAUAAGGCCAUAAUGAGAUUGUUAUCAAUCUGGCCUCAGUUCUGGUUUCUUCUCUCAGAGGAACAUCAUGAUGAAAAUAGGAAAACUCAUCAAUCAUAAAAAUCACACAAGAGCCAAGCCAACUGGCUUAAAUAUACACACAACAUUGCAGAUUUAUUCCACUCUGUUAAGCUUCCUGAAUCACAGAGAAGUUGUCAGAAAGAUUUUAGCCUCCGCUAUAGGAAGUCCUGCCCACCUUCUCCAGAUCUCUGUUCUCAUAGUCCAUCCUCUGGUUCCAGGUGGAAGAAUUCUAAAAUCACACAAGAAAAUGUAAGAUAUCUUCCUCGAAUAUCAACAGAGAAGAACAGCAGCCACGUGGAUAAGGCAGAGUUUGGGAAAUCCUGGAUUCCCUUAUCAUAAAGCAUCUUACAGUAACCUCAGAAAUGCAGAAGUUACUUGUAAUGGUGCUGUAGACACUGUACGAGAAAGUUUCACCUUUAUGAUCUAAUUUAAUUCUCACAAAAACCCUGUUAGGUAGGGUGUUAUUAUUUAAAUUUAAAUCAGAGGAAAAUGUAACAGGAAUUCUGCAACUUACAGUCAAAGAGAUAAUAAACAGGAGCAUCUGUG